rnacentral:rRNA from 1 species
GAUCAUGGCUCAGGAUGAACGCUGGCGGCGUGCUUAACACAUGCAAGUCGAGCGAAGCACUUAGGAAAGAUUCUUCGGAUGAUUUCCUUUGUGACUGAGCGGGCGGACGGGUGAGGUAACGCGUGGGUAACCUGCCUCAUACAGGGGGAUAACAGUUAGAAAUGACUGCUAAUACCGCGUAAGACCACGGUACCGCAUGGUACAGUGGUAAAAACUCCGGUGGUAUGAGAUGGACCCGCGU